CCCGGCUGCUUCGCGCCUUGUCUUGUCACCCGUGCCGUCAGUGCCACGCGGUUAUCGCCGUCGGCAGGACUGCUCGCGCGUACAUAUCCACUGGCCGUGGAUUCUUACAGUUCUUGAGGUGCUCUUUGCUGUGCUGUGGUAAACAGUGAAGUUGAGCAACUGUUUAGACUUCAGACUUCAGUGUUCAGACCAAGCAAAUUGGCUUCAGACUUCAGUUCGUGAGGUGCUCUUUGCUGUGCUGUGGUAACCAGUGCAGUUGAGCAAAUGUUCAGACUUCAGACUUCAGAAUUCAGUCCAAGCAAAUUGGCUUCAGACUUCAGUUCGUGAGUUGAGCAACUGUUCAGAAUUCAGAGUUCAGACAAAGCUAAUUGGCUUCAGACUUCAGUUCGUGAGGUGCUCUUUGCUGUGCUAUGGUAACCAGUGUUGUUGAGCAACUGUUCAGACUUCAGACUUCAGAAUUCAGACCAAGCAAAUUGGCUUCAGACUUCAGUUCGUUAGGUGCUCUUUGCUGUGCUGUGGUAACCAGUGUAGUUGAGCAACUGUUCAGACUUCAGAUUUCAGAGUUCAGACCAAGCAAAUUGGCUUCAGACUUCAGUUCGUGAGGUGCUCUUUGCUGUGUUGUGGUAACCAGUGCAGUUGAGCAACUGUUCAGACAUCAGACUUCAGAGUUCAGACCAAGCAAAUUGGCUUCAGACUUCAGUUCGUGAGGUGCUCUUUGCUGCGUCGUGGUGACCCAUCAGCAGUUGAGCAAUUGUUCUGAACUUCUAAUAGCCCCAUACUCCGAGGAGGAAGUUAGAAAGGUGGCUUUCCUAAUGGAGCAUAACAAGUCCGGAUGGUUUUCCCAUCGAGUUCUAUUAGAACUUAAGGGAAGUCAUCAAACCGGAUCUCCUACUUUUGUUUAGCGACCUACAUGUUGGUCAACUAGAAUUGUUUUGCUUAAACUUCGGUGAGAUUAUUUUAUAACCUAAGGUUAAUGAGGCUGAAAGGAUACAACAAUAUAGACCUAUUUGCCUCUUAAAUGUUAGAUUUAAAAUAUUGAUGAAGGUUGCGACUAUUAGGCUAAAUUCGAUUGUUGAACAUGUGGUUCGGCCUUCACAGACAAAUUUUAUGCAAGUCAGGAACAUCCUAGAUGGAGUUGUUAUCCUGCAUGGAAGAGUCCAUGAAUUACACCGGAAAAAGUUGAAUGGAGUGGUACUCAAAAUAUACUUUGAAAGGCUUAUGACAAAGUCAAGUGGCCCUUUCUUCAACAGACUCUCAGAAUGAAAGGAUUUUUUUGCAGAGUGGCGCGCUAUGAUCCAUAGCUUUGUUGCUGGAGGUAGUAUUGCCAUUAAGAUCAAUGAUGACAACGUUGAACACUAUUUCCAAACGAAGAAGGGAUUGUGACAAGGUGAUUCGUUAUCGCCCAUGCUAUUCAAUAUAGUGACGGAUAUGCUAGCGGUCAUGACUGAGCGUGCCAAGGUUGAUGUCCAAAUUGAUGGGGUAGUUAAUCAUCUAGCUAGUUGAUGGUGGUCUCUCUAUACUUCAAAUGCCGAUGAUAUGAUUCUCUUCAUAGAUCAUGACCUCGAGAAAGCGAGAAAUCUGAAACUAAUUUUAUCAGCAUUCGAGCAAAUCUCAGGUCUUAAGAUCAAUUUUCAUAGAAGUGAAUUGUUUUUCUUCGGCGAGGCUCAAGACGAGGCCCACCUGUAUGCUGAACUAUUCGGAUGUGGGUUGGGACAGUUUCCAAUCACAUAUUUGGGGAUACACAUUAUCGGAGACUCACAAAUGUUGAAUAGAAACACGUCAAGGAGAGGCUACAAAAAAGACUUAGCAGUUGGAAAGUUGCCGAAAGGAGUUUUUACAUAUAUUGGAUUACUUCCGAUCAAGAUUCUUUUGGCAAGGAGAUAGUGAGAGAAAGAAAUAUCGACUGGCUAAAUGGAGUGUGGUUUGCCAUCCCAAAGACCAAGGCGGAUUGGGCAUUCAUGACCUUGAUGUUAAGAAUGGGGCCCUUCUCGACAAAUGGUUUUUUAAAUUACUGAUGGAAGAUGGUGUAUGGCAAACCCUUCUAAGGAGGAAAUGUGUUGGUUCCAAGGCGGUAUCCCAAGUAUACUGGAAGCCUGGGGAUUCCCACUUUUGGGCAGGUAUAAUGGCUAAGAAAUAUUUCUUCUACUAUGGAUCCUUCUCGAUUAUGGAUGGCUCAGAAAUUAGAUUCUGGGAGGACAAGUGCCUAGGAGAUGCCACAAUCCUGGAACAAUAUCCAACUCUAUACAACAUUGUGUGCCACAAGGGUGAUACUAUCACCACGGUAAUGGAAUCAUUUCCGCCAAAUGUGAUGUUCAGAAGAGAUUUAAUUGGACACAGGCUCCAAACAGGGAACAUUGCUACCUCUUGAGCACUGCA